AACUGGUUGCUGUAUAAAUUUUAAAGAUCCAUCCUCAGGUCAGCCAUGCACAAUGGCACUCUACAUGAAAGGCAGAAUUUUUUUGUUGGAGCUCUAAAUGGGAGAAGCCUUUCAGGCAGAGCCAUACAAGGGACUGAAUCUGGGAACAAGCAUGAAAUGUAAAUGGAACACCAAGAAACAGCAUACUUCAUGGCCAUGUUAUAACUAAUGAAUUACUUGGGGUUUGAUGACUGGCUUACAGAGAAGAAUAAGGAAAUGUACCUCUAAGAAUCGUUUGAAAUGAGUCUUCAUAUCCUCCCAAAUAUUUUUCAAGAACGUUUGGCAUUACUUCAAAAAUUAACUUUAGGAAAGGAACUAUUAUCACAUUUUAAGAGGGGAAUUGCAGUUGCACUUAAACUAGAAACUUCCACUUGGUGAAUUGAAUUAUUAAGGAAUAAUGGCAGAAGAAAGAGUAAGUCGUUUAUAGGCAAUAAUAAGCAAUAAAAAUAUAUGUAUAUGUGCAUGCAAAAAGUUAUGGCAAAACUAAUAAGAUUUUAAAAAAUCAUUGUGUUCCUGAAGAAACAAAGAAC
rnacentral:lncRNA from 1 species